rnacentral:lncRNA from 1 species
GUUCUGAAUGGGGGGGUAAUCAUGGGUUCCUAUGGGGUGUAAUUGGGUUCUAUGAGGGUAAUAGGGUUUCUAUGGGGGGUAAUAGGGUUCUAUGGGGGGUAAUUGGGUUCUAUGGGGGGUAAUUGGGUUCUAUGGGGGGUAAUUGGGUUCUAUGGGGGGG